AUUGAACGCUGGCGGCAGGCCUAACACAUGCAAGUCGAGCGCGAAAAUUCCUUCGGGGAUGAGUAGAGCGGCGGACGGGUGAGUAAUGCGCAGAAAUCUGCCCAGUAGUGGGGGACAACCUGGUGAAAACCAGGCUAAUACCGCAUACGCCUACCGGGGAAAGGACGAGGGAGUCUUCGGUACCGUUCGUCGCUAUUGGUAUGAGUCUGCGUCGGAUUAGCUUGUUGGUUGAGGUAAUGGCUCACCAAGGCGACGAUCCGUAGCUGGUCUGAGAGGAUGAUCAGCCACACUGGGACUGAGACACGGCCCAGACUCCUACGGGAGGCAGCAGUGGGGAAUAUUGGACAAUGGGGCGAAAGCCUGAUCCAGCCAUGCCGCGUGUGUGAAGAAGGCUCUAGGGUUGUAAAGCACUUUC
rnacentral:rRNA from 1 species